UGUAAGCGUAUACCAAAGUUGUUGCAGUUAAAACGCUCGUAGUCGGAAUUUGGCAGUUCCGGAUGUGUGCACGUCGUGUGCGCACUUCGCGGGGAUUGCUUUUGUGGUCUUGCGUAGGAUGAGGCACUUUUAUUAGUGAACGUCCUCACGCAACCACUUUUUACUGUGAGAAAAUCAGAGUGCUCAAAGCAGGCAUUUGCCGUGAAUGUAUUAGCAUGGAAUAAUAGAAUAGGACUUGGUUCUAUUUUGUUGGUUUGUUGGGACUGAGUAAUGAUUAAGAGGGACAGUUGGGGGCAUUUGUAUUUCGGUGCUAGAGUUGAAAUUCUUAGAUUACCGAAAGACAAACUGCUGCGAAAGCGUCUGCCAAGGAUGUUUUCAUUGA
rnacentral:rRNA from 1 species